AACACGUUAUACAAGAAUGUAAUAACCCUUUCCAUCGCGCAUGGCUUCAGAAAUUACCUCAGUCAUCUAACAUGGCGAUUUGCGAAGGGAACUCGCUUGCAGAAGUCAUCCUUUCGAUAAUUUUUGAACGAGUAAUACGUAAAUAUACAAGACUAAACGAAGAUGAAAGCAGUUCCAAGAGCCCAGAAGUAUUGCUGAGGAGCCUAGUUGACCGCUAUCUGAAUUAUAAUUACGUUCAAAGAAGAUACAUGGAUUUCUACGUUCAACGUGAUAAUUAAACAUUCGACAUCCGAAAUGAAACACAUCAAACGAUAUGUCCUAUGUGGAUAAGACAAAUAUCCGACCGUCAACCAGAUUAGGAAAUGAAAACGUUUUUCUCUUCAGUCUUAUUUUUAAAUGAGAUUUUAUCAUGGCGACCAGAGUAUUUUCAUCGAUGAGUGAGGUAUUAUGUCUCUUACCUUAAGCUAUUUUAAUGGUAUUAUGUUAAUAUAAAUCAAGAAUCCUUAUAAUUUUCAACUGCUGUAAUAAAGAAUAUUCGAUAUAGGAAACAAGAUGCUUGAUGAAGGAGAGGAGAUGGUAAAAACGGCGGAGGUAGCUGAUGCUGCUUACGAAUUUAUUACAAAUCUUGCCAAUAAUCUGAAACUCAAGUUGGUGAGAGAGGCACCUUACUAUCUGGUGUAUGAAAACAACAUGUUUCUAUUGCUAGAACAUUACUAUAGCAACCAUCUACUACAAUAUUGAAUUUUAAUAAAGGAGCACAUUGGAUGGUGAAUACAGAAGAGUGGUUUACAAAGCAGUUGGAAAUUCUAAGCGAGGCAGAAACAUCGUUAGCUAUUGUUCAUGUAUGCAUUAUGUGAUUGGGAAUACAUAGGAAAAAGAAAAGGAAGAAAAAACAUUUGUCCUUGACGACGAAAUUUGGAAAAGUCAAUAUGGUGCUGUCUUAUAAAGCGUGGGACGGUGAUACGAGGAGGUGGGAGGGAUUUACUUCAUUCAAAGGUUCCAACCGCGAGCGGCUUUAGCUGGAGUGUCUAUGCGAUUCUACUGAGAAUGAUUUGUCGAAGGGCCGUUCGACGUUGCAUGCAUUAGAAGAGUCACAUGCGUCUUCAUUACGUGGUUGCAAUUAACAAGGAAGAAGAGGAAGAAGAGGAAGAAGAGGACAAACAUUUAUAAUGGUGUUGACGACGAUCCUCAAAGUAUUGCCUCAAGGUAAUCGUCAAUUAAAAUAGCGCUGUAUUACAAAGCUUCAUUCAUAUGGUGAUACGAGGAUAUGGAAUAUACGUUAUUGUAAGGAUUCAAAGGUUUAUCGUAGGGUUGUUUGCCGUUGCAAAGGGAAUCUGGAUUCAAAUGGAACUGAAAUGGUACUCAGGCAGCUUUAUCAUUGAAAAUGAUCAAAGCUUCAUAUACGAUCAAAGUAUUCAUUGUUCUUCGGGAUAAUAACGUUAGCUCGGACACGCUUUUAAAUUAUGCGUUAAUAUGUAGUGUAGGUUUAUCUCACCGUGUCAUCGUUAUACCGUCAGUUUAUAUUAUUAUUCAAUAUAAUUAAAAAGAGAAGAAGUGUUUGGUUCAAUGUUCCAAAUUAUUUGUCAGAGUAUUCACGUCAUGUACUUAAAAAUAAUGUAUAAUGUACGUUUUUCAGAAAUAUAGGUAUUUGGACGAACUAAAUUAUUACGUAGCGCAAAUAUCUUACGAUUGAGAUUUAAUGAAAAUGCAUGUAUACGUUACGUUCUUCCAUACGUAUCGUCGUGUACGUUCGUGUUAAACAAUUUGUUAUUAUCUUUCUCCACACACUUACGCUCUUACAUUCUCUCAUCCGCGCUAGAGCAUGUAAGCGGGAAUAUGUCCGCGGUUCUGUGGGUGUGCGUGCGUAUAUCUCCUCGCUUAUUUUGACGAAACGUAUUUUUUCAAAAGAGGAAAGGUAUUUUGUCGUUCGUUCUCCUUUCAUUAAACUAAGCAGGCAAUGCGAUAAUACGAUUGGCAGUGUACUUCAAUUAGCUAUUUAGCUGCAUUAAUUAAUUAGCAGAUCGAUGUACCACAACUAAUUUAGUUCUUUCAUACGAACGAAUACUUUUCCCGAAAAAUUAAUUCAAUUACUUUAUUAUUAUUAUUUAACUGCAUCAUUUAACUAGCCAGUUAAGUCUUUUGAAAAGCAAUGCACCACGUAUCUGAUUCAAUUCUUUCAUACGAGCGAGUAGAUUUUCCUAAAAAUUUAUUUCCGAGCGAAGAACGAAAGAAUGAACUAAUUAUGCACUAUAUACAACGUUGCGUAUAUUGUAUUGUGCUGUAUGUCGUAUAUUAUGCUCUAAACUAGUUAGUUCUUAUGAAAAAAUUAUAUUUCUGCAAUCAUUUAUUAUUUAUUACGUAUAACCGAGUGUAGCAGUGAUUUUAUUAUAUUUCUAGUAAAAUAAUAUUUGUAUUUUGCGAAUGCA